GUAAGGAAUAUUGGACAAUGGCCGCAAGGCUGAUCCAGCCAUGCCGCGUGCAGGAAGAAGGACCUAUGGUUUGUAAACUGCUUUUGUACGGGAGAAAACCCUUUCACGUGUGAGAGGCUGAUAGUACCGUAAGAAUAAGCAUCGGCUAACUUCGUGCCAGCAGCCGCGGUAAGACGAAGGAUGCAAGCGUUAUCCGGAUUCAUUGGGUUUAAAGGGAGCGUAGGCGGAUUUGUAAGUCAGUGGUGAAAUCUCUGGGCUCAACCCAGAAACUGCCAUUGAUACUGCAGAUCUAGAGUACAGUUGCCGUUGGCGGAAUAUGACAUGUAGUGGUGAAAUACUUAGAUAUGUCAUAGAACACCGAUUGCGAAGGCAGCUAACGAAACUGUAACUGACGCUGAGGCUCGAAAGUGCGGGGAUCAAACAGGAUUAGAUACCCUUGUAGUCC
rnacentral:rRNA from 1 species